CGCUGAACUUAAGCAUAUCACUAAGCGGAGGAAAAGA
rnacentral:rRNA from 2 species